AAACUCACCAACUGUCCCGAAAUUUGUACAGGUGACUUAGUCUGUAUAAUAAUGAUGACGAGUGGAUUAAUAAUUCAGCUGCGAGUAUAACACAGCCAGGUGAAAUAGAUAAUACUGUACACUGUUCUGUGUCUCCGAGAACGACUCCGAAUUAUUUGGUUGACCUUACUUUUCAAGACGUUUACUACAUAUCUGAAAAUGAACUGGAUGUCUUUGAGUGUGUUCAUAUUGACCAUAAUGGCUCAAGUCAGCCUCACACAAUGUGGAUACCUUGAACGAGUGUUUCCGGAAAGGCACGCACCCUUUCGUAAUGCGGCCGGCUACCGCUCUCGUUUGCUGAAUCAGUUGUUUGAGAACUAUUUUAUGUACGGAAUAAAACGAAACUACCCGUCACGAUUCGACAGGAUGGGUCGAUUUUACGGGAAACGUAGUUACCUCGCUUCCAACCUGGACCACCAGUAUCGUUUUGACAGAUCCUGAGUUACCAGCAUCGGCCAUUUCCGUUCCAAAGAUAAAACGACAAAUGGAAGACAAGUGGGGUGUUUUGACCGGAACAUGCAGCUGAAAUGCAAACUCAAACACGAACUCGGACAAAGAGAAAUCCAAUAUUGACGUAGCUUUUGUAAAAAUUUCAUAACUUAAUUUAGAUAUUGUGUUUGGUCAAUCGACAAUAACGAUUACUUCCGUCAUUUGUCGGAAAUUAGAUACGCUGUCCCAAAUUGGUUGUGACGAUGAUAUUUUUAGAAGAAGAAAAAAAGAAGUUAUUUUUGUUAUUUUGUUGAAAGUUAAAUAACAGGAAAGAAAGGCCCGCGGUGAAAGGUAACGUGAAAGUGGCUAACGUAAUCAUCCUUUCCGCCUGAGUGAUUUGGGAUUUGUUUGAGAUGUUUCAUCUACUACGUCAUGUUUGGCAAAAAGCUUAAUGAAAAAUGGAAAUUGAAUUUGGUAAGCAGACAUAAGACAGCAUUUUGUAAAAUCGUAUGUUGAAGGGGACAUGUGGUGAAGUUGGUGAUGUGUGUGUUCUCACACAUACUAACACACACACACACACACACACGCACGCACACACACUGUCAGUCACACACACCUACACACCUACACACACACACACACACAUACACA